GACGAACGCUGGCGGCGUGCUUAACACAUGCAAGUCGAACGGAAAGGCUCCAGCUUGUUGGAGUGCUCGAGUGGCGAACGGGUGAGUAACACGUGGGCAAUCUGCCCUGCACUCUGGGAUAAGCCUGGGAAACUGGGUCUAAUACCGGAUAGGACCUUUCUCCUCAUGGGGUUUGGUGGAAAGUUUUUCGGUGCAGGAUGAGCCCGCGGCCUAUCAGCUUGUUGGUGGGGUAAUGGCCUACCAAGGCGACGACGGGUAGCCGGCCUGAGAGGGUGAUCGGCCACAUUGGGACUGAGAUACGGCCCAGACUCCUACGGGAGGCAGCAGUGGGGAAUAUUGCACAAUGGGCGAAAGCCUGAUGCAGCGACGCCGCGUGAGGGAUGACGGCCUUCGGGUUGUAAACCUCUUUCAGUAGGGACGAAGCGCAAGUGACGGUACCUGCAGAAGAAGCACCGGCUAACUACGUG
rnacentral:rRNA from 1 species